GAGAGUGCUGAUGUGUCUUGUACUGUCAACUUAAAUAUCUCCAUACAGACAUGACAUAUAUCACUUCACUUCCAACCCAUUGGCUCUCCAGUGUGCCUAGAAGGAAAAGAGAAACAAACAGCUUCAGAAGGGCUGUUCUGGGGAGGACAUGAGGCACAAGGUAUAAGGCCACAGAGAGGAGCCACAAACUAUCAAGGAGAUGUGGAUGUAGAGACAAGAGGUGAAAAUGGUUAAUUGCAAAAAGUGUGCGAGAGUUAUACCAGCAAGUGUUGUCAUACUCGGGAUGGCAGUGGAAUGUGCAGAAAUACGAAGACAUCAUAGGUAAGUGAUUUUUUUUUAAAUAGUAAAUAUUAGAAAACAGUAAUUUUAAGGUUCAAAUAACCUUCAAAGGUUGUUUAGGGAAUAUUUAUUUGGAUGAGCAUUUGUAGUUUUGGGACCUUUAAAUUCCUGAUGUUUUUUUCUAGUCUUAAUUCCUACUCAUAUCCCUUGUUAAAGAAAAAUCGUUCCGACACUUGUUAAAAAUGGCAAGGAAGGCUUUGUGCAAGACUAUUACAAUAGGGAGAGAAGUUGAGUUGAACUCUGAAUAUAGCAAAGGCAGACAGCAAUAGAAAAUUACUCAGAAAUCAAGGGUGGGGAAUUCUUGUUAAAGCAGGCUUACCAGGAUUCCUGCUAAAG